CCUACGGGACGCAGCAGUGGGGAAUAUUGCACAAUGGGGGAAACCCUGAUGCAGCGACGCCGCGUGAGUGAAGAAGUAUUUCGGUAUGUAAAGCUCUAUCAGCAGGGAAGAUAAUGACGGUACCUGACUAAGAAGCCCCGGCUAACUACGUGCCAGCAGCCGCGGUAAUACGUAGGGGGCAAGCGUUAUCCGGAUUUACUGGGUGUAAAGGGUGCGUAGGUGGCAGGGCAAGUCAGACGUGAAAGCCCGGGGCUCAACCCCGGUACUGCAUUUGAAACUGGGGAUCUUGAGUGGGCGAGAAGUAU
rnacentral:rRNA from 1 species